rnacentral:rRNA from 2 species
AACGCGUGGCGGUCUAUAAUGCAGUCGAGCGACUGAUUAGAAGCUUGCUUCUAUGACGUUAGCGGCGGACGGGUGAGUAACACGUGGGCAACCUGCCUGUAAGACUGGGAUAACUCCGGGAAACCGGAGCUAAUACCGGAUAACAUUUUCUCUUGCAUAAGAGAAAAUUGAAAGAUGGUUUCGGCUAUCACUUACAGAUGGGCCCGCGGUGCAUUAGCUAGUUGGUGAGGUAACGGCUCACCAAGGCAACGAUGCAUAGCCGACCUGAGAGGGUGAUCGGCCACACUGGGACUGAGACACGGCCCAGACUCCUACGGGAGGCAGCAGUAGGGAAUCUUCCGCAAUGGACGAAAGUCUGACGGAGCAACGCCGCGUGAGUGAUGAAGGCUUUCGGGUCGUAAAACUCUGUUGUUAGGGAAGAACAAGUACAAGAGUAACUGCUUGUACCUUGACGGUACCUAACCAGAAAGCCACGGCUAACUACGUGCCAGCAGCCGCGGUAAUACGUAGGUGGCAAGCGUUAUCCGGAAUUAUUGGGCGUAAAGCGCGCGCAGGCGGUUUCUUAAGUCUGAUGUGAAAGCCCACGGCUCAACCGUGGAGGGUCAUUGGAAACUGGGGAACUUGAGUGCAGAAGAGAAAAGCGGAAUUCCACGUGUAGCGGUGAAAUGCGUAGAGAUGUGGAGGAACACCAGUGGCGAAGGCGGCUUUUUGGUCUGUUACUGACGCUGAGGCGCGAAACGGGGGAGAAAACAGCAUUAGAUACUCUGGUAGUCCACCCCGUAACGAUGAGUGCUGAUAGUGAGAGGGUUCCGUUCCUUCUUUGCGGCUGCAACUACUAAUUACCAAUCCGCUGGGGGGGGAAGGCGGGAGGAUUCACAUCAAUUAAUGAAACGCGGCCCCCCGUUUUGCUCAUAUUUUUCUAAAUCCACGUGCCCCAUAAUAACUCUCCCGGGUGUUUGGCUCUUUACACCCGUU